rnacentral:rRNA from 1 species
UAGCCCUUAGAACAUAUAAAGGGUCCCGCCUGCCCAGUGGCUCAAAGCUAAACGGCCGCGGUAUCUUGACCGUGCAAAGGUAGCAUAAUCAUUUGUCUUUUAAAUGAAGACUUGUAUGAACGGCGAAACCUCUUUCAACUGUCUCCCCCCCUACCCUUAUAAAUUCCUUUCUGCGUGAAGAAGCACAGAUACACAAGAAAGACGAGAAGACCCUGUCGAGCUUCAGCUAAUAAGUAAACGGAAAAUCACAUAAACCGAUAUUACCCAAAAGCUUUGGUUGGGGCAACCAUGGAGAAAACACAACCUCCAGACUAAAUAAAAGAGAACCACUCAUUACUUUCACACUAGAGAACCAGAAACUGGUAAACGGAAAAAGUUACCGCAGGGAUAACAGCGUCAUCUCCUCUAAGAGUCCUUAUUGACGAGGGGGUUUGCGACCUCGAUGUUGGAUUGGGGGACCCUUAGGGUGCAGAAGCUCUAAACGGUUAGACUGUUCGUCUAUUAAAGCCCU